GGUGGGGUGGCAGAGUGGUCGAAUGCGCCGGUCUUGAAAACCGGUAACGGUGCAAGCCGUUCAGGGGUUCGAAUCCCCUCCCCACCG
rnacentral:tRNA from 1 species